CCACUGCCUGCUUUCCCAGUUCACGUCAGGUGUGUGGCUGCGGCUCAAUUAAUGUUGAACUCCAUGUCAUAGAUAAAAUGACAGAGAAAAGAAAAAAUGGACAUAAGAUCAUUUUUCAGUGCACCUAAACGCCAAGCAAAGGAGACAGAAAUUAUUGAGGGACAGGUAGACCAGGGUCAAUCAGAUGUACAGUGUCAGGAGUCAGUCUGUUCUGUGACAGUGAGAGUAGAGGAAGGGGCAGAUUCAAAACCAGGGAAGGAGCCGGAGACAGCAGAACAAAGAGAUGAUAUUGCCAGCACCAGCACAGGGAGCACAGUUUUUAGUUU